rnacentral:piRNA from 1 species
UCUGUGUUGUUUUAAAAUGGUCCUCUUGGG